CUUCCUCCUCCGCUGUGGCUGUGGCUGUGGUCUGGGCGUCGGCAAACAAUUUCAAUAAACUUUUAAACUACGAAUCGUACAACAUCCACAAUUAGAGCCUCCAUAUAGAUUGUGCAAACUGGGCCGUGUGUGGAGAGAAGAUCACAACGCGAAAUUCAAAGGCACCUGACUUUCCUUUUGUAUUAAUAAGAAAACCGAAAUGAAGGUCAGGUUUUUUCUAUGGACUGAUUCAACUCCAGCUUCACAGAAACUCAACUCAACUAGGAAAUGAAUGAUGGCGAGUUUACCCAGAAACCUGAAUCAAAAUACUAGAUAACUGGACUGUUUAUUUUUUUUUUUUGUUUUGUUAUUCCUGUGCUCUGUAAAAAUUUAUUUUCAAUAUACUUCACCCAACUUCAUAUUCAUGUCUUAUGUCUCUUCAUUCACACUCGGGCUCCUCAAAGAACAUUCUGCUGAUGCUGCUUUUGUAAGUAAGUGUUUAUUUAUAUAGCGCUUUUCACAGACAUUUUCUGCCCCCAAAGACGCAUUAUUCAGCAUUAUUCAGCAUUAUUCAUUCUGUGGCCGUAUCUGCCCCAGCCCUAACACAUCUUCGUUACAUCAACUUCAACACACAUUUAACUUUCAAAUAUUUAAAUGACACUUUUUCUGUGUUACCCCUGAAAU